AAUCUGGGACCUUACAGGCCAAGUCUUGCCUGGAGGAGACAAGUCUCCGGAUAAGACCCUUCGUUGCAACUUUCCAGCCAGACAGCAGCCUCCGCAUUAACUUUUCACCUACUGCAAUGAGGAUGGAUGCAGCCACGGGGUACCCGAAGUGCCAACCUCGAAGUCAGAGCCCAAUGGCCGGAUGUGUCCAUCAUGCGUAGAGUUGGGAGGGAAGAAGUGUAAGAGCACCAAAAUGAUACCCUGUACCGGCGAUGAAGAUCAGUGUAUCGAGUUCACUGGGAUUCUAGUAGCUGGUAACGUUACGCUCCUCAAGUCUGCGUUUGGCUGUGGCUCUCCCGGGAUCUGUGAUAAGAGAUUUGGGGUGACCAAGUACACCAGAAACACCUUUGAUAUCCUCACCAAUGUUGCCUGCUACCCAGCUCCCCAUCACGUCUGACUGGGGACCCUGCCACUCUCCUGAGCCUGGAAGCCCCUUCCCGCCAGCCAUAAGUGGCUACGGUUUCUCUCACGGCAUGUUUCACAGCGGUGUUUCAUGGCACCACAUUGGCUGAA